GACGAACGCUGGCGGCGUGCUUAACACAUGCAAGUCGAGCGGUAAGGCCCUUUCGGGGGUACACGAGCGGCGAACGGGUGAGUAACACGUGGGUGACCUGCCCUCAGCUCUGGGAUAAGCCCGGGAAACUGGGUCUAAUACCGGAUAUGACUCCAUGACGCAUGUUGUGGGGUGGAAAGCCUUGUGCGGCUGAGGAUGGGCCCGCGGCCUAUCAGCUUGUUGGUGGGGUGAUGGCCACCAAGGCGACGACGGGUAGCCGGCCUGAGAGGGCGACCGGCCACACUGGGACUGAGAUACGGCCCAGACUCCUACGGGAGGCAGCAGGUGGGGAAUCUUGCGCAAUGGGCGAAAGCCUGACGCAGCGACGCCGCGUGAGGGAUGACGG
rnacentral:rRNA from 1 species